rnacentral:tRNA from 1 species
CAGGGUAUAGUUAUAAUAUUAAAACACCUCACUUACACCGAGGAAUUGUCCUUGAAAACAGGAUUACCCUGA